rnacentral:rRNA from 1 species
GAUGAACGCUGGCGGCGUGCCUAAUACAUGCAAGUCGAGCGAACAGAUGAGGUGCUUGCUCCUCUGACGUUAGCGGCGGACGGGUGAGUAACACGUGGAUAACCUACCUAUAAGACUGGGAUAACUUCGGGAAACCGGAGCUAAUACCGGAUAAUAUAUUGAACCGCAUGGUUCAAUAGUGAAAGACGGAUUUGCUGUCACUUAUAGAUGGAUCCGCGCCGCAUUAGCUAGUUGGUAAGGUAACGGCUUACCAAGGCAACGAUGCGUAGCCGACCUGAGAGGGUGAUCGGCCACACUGGAACUGAGACACGGUCCAGACUCCUACGGGAGGCAGCAGUAGGGAAUCUUCCGCAAUGGGCGAAAGCCUGACGGAGCAACGCCGCGUGAGUGAUGAAGGUCUUCGGAUCGUAAAACUCUGUUAUUAGGGAAGAACAAAUGUGUAAGUAACUAUGCACGUCUUGACGGUACCUAAUCAGAAAGCCACGGCUAACUACGUG